AUCAUUUAUUUUUGAAUAGGUUCUCCCACUAUUUUAAGAGUGGAUUUGAUUGUAUUUUUAAAAACUUUAUUGGAGUAUACUACACAUACAAAAAAGUGCACCUAAGUUUGUACAACUGAAUUCAUCAUGUGGUCAAUACUCAAAUUCAGAAAAACAUAACAGAACACAAAACAUUACCAACAUUCCAGAAUCCUUUUUGUCCUUUCUUCCAGUCAAUUCUUCCUUUCCCAAGGGUAAGCACUAUCCUGACUUGUAGCAGCAUAGUUGUGUUUUUGUAUUUCAUAUUAAUAGAAUUACAUAGGAUGUACUACUGCGUCUGGCUUCUUUGGUAUAUUGUUUAUUACUUUCAUCCAUUUUGUUGCUAGUUAUAAAGCAUUUAUUCUCAUUAUUAUAUAGUAUCCCAUUACGUGAAUGUGACACAACUGAAUUGACAAAAAUAAUUCUAGUGUGCAUUUGAGUAGUUUCUUACUUUUGGUUAUUUAGCACCGGUAUAGACUUUUACAUGAGUAAACAUCUUUUGGUGAAUAUAUACAUACAUAAACACACACACACACACAUAUAUGCAUUUCCGGUUGGUCUAUACCUCAGAGUGAAAGUGCCAGGUCCUAGGGCACAUUGAGCCUUAGAACUGUCAGUUUUCCAAAGUAUUUAUACCACUUUACAUUCCCAUCAACAGAAUUUUAGGUUGUUCUACAUCUAUAACUUGGUGUAUUUAUUUUUUCAUUUUUCAUUCUGGUAGAGAUGUAGUAGUGGUAUCGCAUUGUAGGUUUAAUUUACAUUUCUGAUGAUUAAUGAAGUAUGGCACCUUACCGUGUUUACCGACCAUUUGAGUAUCUUUCUUUGUAAAUGUUUAUUUUUCUGGUGGUUAUUUGUUUACUGAUUUUAGGAGUCUUUAUAUAUUUUGAAUACAAGCUGUUUAUUGGAUAUGUAUAUUGCCAGAUUGUUGAGUAUGUAUUUAUCUUUAACUCUGCUAGCUGCCUUCUCCUUCAUGAUGUCUUUUGAUGAAUUAAGAGUUCUUAGUUGUUUUUUGUUUUUGUUUUUUGAGACAGUUUCGCUAUCAUUGCCCAGGCUGGAGUGCAAUGGCAUGAUCUCAGCUCACCGCAACCUCCGCCUCCCAGGUUCAAGCGAUUCUCCUGUCUCCUGGGUAGCUGGGAUUACAGCACCACCACGCCCGGCUAAUUUUUUCUAUUUUUAGUAGAGACGGGGUUUCUCCAUGUUGGUCAGGCUGGUCUUGAAUUCCCAACCUCAGGUGAUCCGCCAGCCUCGGCCUCCCAAAGUGCUGGCAUUACAGGUGUGAGCCAUGGCGCCUGGCCAAGGGUUCUUACUUUUAACAUGAUCCAAUUAAUCAUUUUUCCCUUUAUAUGAUUAUGUUGUAUUCUCUUAAAAACAAAUCUUUGUCUACUCCAAAGCACAAAGAUUUUUUUUCCCCCUAGAAGCUUUAACCUUUCAAAUUUAGACUUGGAAUCAAUUUAGAAUUUUGAUGUAUGUGUCAUGUAAAAGUAAAAAUACAUUUUUCUAUAUGAAUAUCCAAUUGACCCAGCAAUAUAUACUGAAAAGAUCCUUCUUUUCUCACUGCACUGCAGUGUCACCUCUGUGAUCAAUCAAGUGACCACUUAUGUGCUUUUUAUAGUAGUGACAUGGUUUUAACUGAUUAUAAUUUCCAGUAAUGAAUGGAAGACAAAUGCUCAAAGUCUCAAAAAACAAAAAAUGCUCAAAGCCUUAAGUCUACAUAAUUAAGUUACAGUUUACAUGUAUUCUAAGAGGGCAAUGAAAACCCUAUGAAAAACUUUAAAAUAUCCUGGUUAGGAAUGAGAGGAUAACAGGAAAGUUAUUACUGCAUAUUCAAUGGUGUGUUUAAGUUAGUAGGAAAUUGGGUCCUUACUUUCCAAGUAUGGGAGGCAAGAUUUAAGACAAAAAAAUAUAAAGGAACUGUGUACAAAAUCGUGUGGUGGAGACCAAGUACUAUAUAAAUUAAGGAAAAGACCAGUGAGGGAUGAAGAGCCAGGAAAGGUUUCAUAGAGGAAGUGUGACUCAAAUCCUUGAAUUGAUUUAGGCCUGAUUAGGUCUCUCUUAAUGCAAAAUAUUAGAGCCUUCAUUCUUUUCUAUAGCUCCUUAAUACAUUAAAUAGAUUAGCAAAUCUUACUCUUAUUUCCUUAGAUGCCUCUAAUCCACCAACUAUUACUGAGUUUUAGGACCGACCAGAGGUUCUAACCCUGAAUGCACACUGAAACACCUGGGAAACCCUUAAAAAGUACUUAGGUCCAAACCUCAUCAGACUAAUGAUAUCAAUAUGUGGGUGUGAGGCCAACUCAUCAGUACUAAAUGCCCUCAGGGGAUCUAAAUGUACAGUUAAAGUUGAGGACUUUGAAUCAGUGGUUCUCAACCCCAGUGAUAAAGUUGUCAGAUAAAAUUCAGAACACCUGGUUAAAUUUGACUUCUGAUAAGUAUUUUGUCCCAUAGGAGAAAUAUAGCAAUAACGGAAGACAUUUUUGUCAUAACCAUGGCUUGCUGUUGGUAUCUAAUAAGCAGAAACUAGGGAAUGCUGCUAAACUUCCUACAAUGUCUAGGAGAGCCCACACAACAAAGACUGGUUCAAGACGUCAAUAGUGCAGAAGUGGAUAAACCCUCCUUGUGACAACAGUCACAAGGAGAAUAUAGAGUUGGAACUAAAAAGAGAGUUUUGUUCAAAUGUAAGGACUAGGUUGAUAUUACAAGUAACAGAAGCCCAAGAAAGACAUGAAGGUUUUAAACUUGAAGCUAGAGAACUAUUGUUUGAAGUCUAGCAUUCUAUAAUUGAAUUUUUAGAUACAUGUUUCAGUAAAUUUUCAAAGAAACUAAAAGCACAUAGCGUUCAAUGUAAUGAAUUCCUAAGUUUAUGAAGUGGCAGCAUUAUCAGUUAACCCAAAAGUUCUUUCACUUUAAAUUCUGCAACUCUUUGAUAUUUUUAAUCAGACACUUAAUAGACUUCUUGAUUAUGACCAUGAAGUGAAUAUAGAAAAGAAAUAUAUAUAACUAAUGGACUCUUGGCCAAGUCCCAGUGCUGGGUCUUAACACUAGCUGUGUGACCUGAUGCAAAUGCUCCUGUUUCCCAUUUUGUCUACCAUAAAAUGAGGAAUGUGGAUGACAUGAUCUGAAAGAUCUCUUUCAGCAUUUAAUUUCUAUGUGCUUGAUAAAUUUUCAUCUAUGUAACCAGCAUCCAAGAACAAAAAUUCCUAAGUUCUUGUGAAAACAUAACUUUAACAAAUAAACUUUUAUUCAGUGACAGAUCUAAUAGUAAUUUCAAUGGCUCAGUCUUAUUUUUUUAAAAGGUAGCAAAUUUAUGUUUAAGAUAUAUAAUUUUACAAAUCCUUUCUUGUCCACAAGGUCCUGAUCAAGUGAACAGUUACCUGAGGUGUUUUUUUCUGUGGUACAUAAUAGUCAACCACUUUAUAUUAUUAUCAUUCAGUAAGAGUUCCUUGAGUUAUAUUUCUAAAACCUGAAUCUUGCCAUAAUACUUCAGAAAAAAAAGUUUUUAAUUAACAGUUACUGCUGAUCAUAUUUGUUUCUGGAAAUCCUGUUAAAAAGCAAGUUGAUAAAGAGUCUCGUCACCAUGUACCCUAUCUCAGUACAACAGAAUGCACAGACUUAGUCACCUAUAGGGAAUAAGUAUCAUUUUCGAUCAGUAAGUGACACUUCCUAAUUGUUAAAGCAAAUGUUGAAAUUUCAAGGGAACUUGCCUUAAAGAAUGGUGCAAGGUAGGAAAUGGCUGAAUAAGCAAAAUACACAUUAGAAAUAAUGAGAGUGGUGCAAGGUACUUGACCAAAUUCUGUAUUGUGUAACGCUGUCCUCUGUACUGUGGGACGUUCAGCACUAACCCUGUCCUCUACCUACUAAGUUCUGUAGCACAACUCCCCCAUGUCCCUCCAAAUUAUGAAAAUAAAAAAUGUCUCCAGACAUUGCUAAAUUUCCCUUGAGGGGCAAAGCUCUUAUCAAAUGACAUGUUAACUAAGCUAGGGGUUUUAAAACAAGGUGUGAUUAAAAAGUUAUCUCCAUGUAGUCCUUUUCAAAACAGGCAUUUCAUGCAAAGAAGAAAAAACAGAAAAAAAUCUAUUUCAAUUCAUUUUGUGGAAGUUACAUUUACUCCUUAGAUCUGCCUAUUCCUAUUUGCAAAAGCUUCAAAAAUGAAAGAUGAAGUUUAUGAUGCUGUAAAAACAAGCUCUGUCUCAAAUGAGGCACCUCUGUAAAGUACUGCAGUUUCCACCUAUUGCUAAAAUUGAAAAAUAAAUUUGUCAGUUAAGGCAUAGUUCUAUUUGUCUGUCUCAACUCAGGAGUUAAGAGAGAAUUACCUUUUUAGUAGGGAUAAGGACAAGACUCAUAUGCGUUUAAAGAUGUAUUAUCCUUCUUCUUCUUUUCCUGAACAUAAAUUAUUUCAAAGUAAUACUCAGACUGGUACCCCAACACUUAAUAGACAAUAAAGAUAAAAGAAAAUUUGAAAAAGUCUACAAUGAAUCCAAAAUUCUCAAUUGCAUUAAAAAGAAUUUUAAAAAGAUUAAUAUAGAAACUUAAGAAUCAAUAAUGGUAUUUAAAAAAUACUGUAAUGAAAACACACAUUAUUGUAACCAAAUGUGUGAUUUAUUUUGGGAAGAAAAUAAUUAAAACUGAGGCCUUUUUCCAAUAAAGAGG
rnacentral:lncRNA from 10 species